ensembl:lncRNA
GUGAUGGAGACUCCACUGUUGUGUGUGUGGUCAUAUCCUCCCUACACACACUGAUGAAGAGGUGAUGGAGACUCCACUGUUGUGUGUGUGGUCAUAUCCUCCCUCCACACACUGAUGAAGAGGUGGUGGAGACUCCACUGUUGUGUGUGUGGUAAUAUCCUCCCUCCACAUACUGAUGAAGAGGUGAUGGAGACUCCACUGUGAUGUGUGUGUAUAACAUCCUCCCUCCACACACUGAUGGUCAACCUGGAUGGUGGUUGUCCCGAGCUAUAUACUAUACAGACUAUAUAGAUAUUGUAGCAGGCCAGUGGGUGUGGGGUUUCCACGCUACCAAGUUGAGUAGACAAAUGACACAACUCACAGAGCAGUUCCAAGCACAGAAUGGUUCAUUUACC